rnacentral:tRNA from 2 species
GGGCGGUUAGCUCAGUUGGUUAGAGUGCUUGCUUGACAUGCAAGAGGUCACAAGUUCGAUUCUUGUACCGCCCACCA